UAUUCAGUGGGCUUUUGAUCUUUUUCUUUCAGAUCCUUUUGUUUGUGUUAGCUUUUACUAAUUAUCCUAGAAUUUCCAUGCGAAGUCGAAGCACUCCUGAGCUCGCAGAGUCCCUGAUGGCAGCUCUGGAGAAAAGGCAGGGCUGGACUUGCCUGUGGUCCGGGGGUCAGGCCUCUGCACUUCCACCGCGGGGAGUUCCAGCCCUGGUUCAGGAAGUCCUCGUGCUGUGCAGUGCGGGCAUCGGGACUCCCAGGCCCCUGCGCACAGCCCACAGCGUCGCUUCCUGGCUGGUGCCCUUGGACAAGUUACUUAACCUCUGUGAGCCUGUGCAGCGUGAGGACAGUUAUCCCUCUGUGGUCUUCGGAGACAUGUGCGUGGUCUUCCCUGACAGAAAAAAACAGCUUUAUUGAGAGAUAAUUCACACACCAUGAAAUUCACUUUUUAUGACUUAAAUAUCUACUCUUAAAAGUGUACAAUUCAGUGGGUUUUAGUAAAUUCACGGAGUUGUGCCGCCAUCAUCCUCUCAUUCCGGAACAUUUUAAUACCGUGAAAGACGCCGCGUGCCCGUGAGAGUCGCGCCCCAGCCCCCCAGCCACCACCGGCCUUCUCCCUGUCUCUGCGGACCUCCCUGUGUUCUGGACUUCUCAUACAAACGGAGUCGCACCAUAUACAGUCUGCGGUGACUGGCUCCUUUCACUUAGCCCGAUCGUUUCAGGGCUCACCCGUGUCGUCAUGUACCGGUUCUUCAUUCCUCUGCGUUACGAGACAACAGUCCAUUCUGUGAACACACCACCUUUUAUUUAUCCAUUCAUCAGCUGAUGGACAUUUGGAUUGUGUCCUCUUUUGAGCCAUCAUGAGUAAUAGCUGAACAUUUAAAUACAGGUUUUUGUGUGUGUGAACACGUUUUCAUUUCUCUUGAGUGUAUGCCUGAGUAGAGUUGCUAGCUCAUACGGUGACAUUAUGUUUAACAUUCUGAACGGUUGCCAAACUGUGUUCCAAAGUGGCUGUACCAUUUUGCAGUCCCACCAGCAAUAUAUGAGGAUUCUAAUUUCUCCAUAUUCUUGCCAA